AUGAACGCUGGCGGCGUGCCUCAUACCUGCCAGUCGAGCGAACAGACGAGGAGCUUGCUCCUCUGACGUUAGCGGCGGACGGGUGAGUAACACGUGGAUAACCUACCUAUAAGACUGGGAUAACUUCGGGAAACCGGAGCUAAUACCGGAUAAUAUAUUGAACCGCAUGGUUCAAUAGUGAAAGACGGUUUUGCUGUCACUUAUAGAUGGAUCCGCGCCGCAUUAGCUAGUUGGUAAGGUAACGGCUUACCAAGGCGACGAUGCGUAGCCGACCUGAGAGGGUGAUCGGCCACACUGGAACUGAGACACGGUCCAGACUCCUACGGGAGGCAGCAGUAGGGAAUCUUCCGCAAUGGGCGAAAGCCUGACGGAGCAACGCCGCGUGAGUGAUGAAGGUCUUCGGAUCGUAAAACUCUGUUAUUAGGGAAGAACAAAUGUGUAAGUAACUAUGCACGUCUUGACGGUACCUAAUCAGAAAGCCACGGCUAACUACGUG
rnacentral:rRNA from 1 species